GAUGAUAGCUUGCUAUCAGGCGUCGAGCGGCGGACGGGUGAGUAAUACUUAGGAAUCUACCUAGUAGUGGGGGAUAGCACGGGGAAACUCGUAUUAAUACCGCAUACGACCUACGGGAGAAAGGGGGCAGUUUACUGCUCUCGCUAUUAGAUGAGCCUAAGUCGGAUUAGCUAGAUGGUGGGGUAAAGGCCUACCAUGGCGACGAUCUGUAGCUGGUCUGAGAGGAUGAUCAGCCACACCGGGACUGAGACACGGCCCGGACUCCUACGGGAGGCAGCAGUGGGGAAUAUUGGACAAUGGGGGAAACCCUGAUCCAGCCAUGCCGCGUGUGUGAAGAAGGCCUUUUGGUUGUAAAGCACUUUAAGCAGUGAAGAAGACUCCGUGGUUAAUACCCACGGACGAUGACAUUAGCUGCAGAAUAAGCACCGGCUAACUCUGUGCCAGCAGCCGCGGUAAUACAGAGGGUGCAAGCGUUAAUCGGAAUUACUGGGCGUAAAGGGAGCGUAGGUGGCUCGAUAAGUCAGAUGUGAAAUCCCCGGGCUCAACCUGGGAACUGCAUCUGAUACUGUUGAGCUAGAGUAUGUGAGAGGAAGGUAGAAUUCCAGGUGUAGCGGUGAAAUGCGUAGAGAUCUGGAGGAAUACCGAUGGCGAAGGCAGCCUUCUGGCAUAAUACUGACACUGAGGCUCGAAAGCGUGGGUAGCAAACAGGAUUAGAUACCCUGGUAGUCCACGCCGUAAACGAUGUCUACUAGUCGUUGGGUCCCUUGAGGACUUAGUGACGCAGCUAACGCAAUAAGUAGACCGCCUGGGGAGUACGGCCGCAAGGUUAAAACUCAAAUGAAUUGACGGGGG
rnacentral:rRNA from 1 species